rnacentral:lncRNA from 1 species
UAUAUUAGUAAUUGUCGCAUUAAGCUGAAUUGAAUUUAUCACAUUAAGCUAAAAUGACUUUACUCACAUUAAAGGAAAAACACUUAUUUAUUAACGCAUAGAUAGACGGAAACUAGGAAAGAGAGAACUAAUUAAAGAAUUAUUUUAUUAAUUUUUUCAUUAACUUAAACUUUCAAAAUUACAAAAGGAAAAAUAAAGGAAUAAAUUGAGUUGAUCGGGCACAUGAGGUCACACUUUAAUGACGUCUUCGUGCGAAGUAGAUUUUGGACUUUGAGUUCGGCACUUUUAUCUGCAAAACAAAGAAAUCGUAAGAGUGCCGUUGUUAUUACUGGUAAAAUUCGUCCAAUGUGAUAUGUAGAAUUUGUACCCAAGAAGUGAAACUGAGACUUAAGAAGAAAAGAGAGAAGAAAUAUUGUAGUAUUCUUUUUAAGUUUUCCAUUCCCCCUCCAAUCAUUCUAUAUUACGCAUAUAUAGCCUCCGACCUCUACACACACACUAAGCUAUGAAAUAGAACAACAAUAGCAAAAUGAUGGCAAAAUAAUCUAGAAAAUGACUAGAUUCAUGUUGAAAAUCAGCAACAAAAGCUUAUCCAACCGAACCCACUAAGACUACCAAUUAAUAGAAUUCUAACUAACUUAAAUAAGUCUUCCACUUUUGCUUUCCAACCGUGCACGUAAUGCCCAUGCAUAUUGAGCACAUAUCAUUCCCCACCCUUUAGAACCACCUUGUCCACAAGGUCAAAGUGCCCCAUUUACUUAACCAGUAUAAGGUGGUGUGAAUGGUGGAGGAUCUUCAAUCAUGAAUAGCUGUGACCUUUGGCAAUGAUGGCCAGGAAUGAAUUUCUCGUCACAAUAAUAACAUAGUCCUUUAUCACGUUGGACCCAUGCUUCUUGGUUAGUCAACUGCUAGAUAGGAGGAGGAGUGUUGGCAUUGGUUGUUUGGUUUGUCUUAGGAGGGGGGCCCAAGAUCCCAGCAUAACUAUUUGGGAUUGGCGGUUGCAUCACGGAAAU